CCAAUUUGACAGCUUUCUCUGUGCUCAUCAGAUACAUUUGGCGCUUUGCUUCCUUCCUUUCCUGCCAUCGGCUAGGUCCUUCUUCCUUCUGCCCAUAGGCAUUCACAUUUCGGGCUGCUGCUGCAGCAGCCCGCUCGGCUUGAGCCCGACUAAGACCCUUGGCAGCUGACAGCGCCGCUGCCUUGAUCCGUUCAGCUGCAGCCUGCGCUUUCUCUUCCUUCUUGCUCGACAUAUCUAUGACUGUAUAAUUAGAACGAUCUGUAACUCUUAAUAUCCUGGAAAAAAAGAAAGACGUAAAUGGUUUAAGAGGUCCACUCCAUGGUGACCUAAAUUUAUGGCUGGAAAAAAAAAAACAAAACCUAGUCCUAAUUUUAUUGGGAGGAAACACAUCCGAGCUAUGAAACCUUGAUUUCGAAUGGGAAGCCAACCAAACAUAGUAGAAAGUAGAAACCAAGGCAUCAGUAUCUUUUAAUCCUACAAGUCAUAGAAAUGCACAUCAACACACAUCUAGACUAGCGGAACAAGGCUCCGAAAGCAAAUAAAACAAAGAGAAGGCACAACUGCGAGCCCCAGAAAACAACAAUAGCAAGCGAAUAAGUCCCGUUGAGAAAAGUUGUACUUUCGAAAGCCGGAUUCUUAGGAGAGAGGAACCCCUCGACUCCUCAUCCAGUCUAGUCAACCAGAUCUUUCAUAUCGUUCGUCAAGAACCAAAACAUGAACGACCGACCUCAGAAAGCAAACGUGCGAAGGGGUGAACGAGAUGCACCCAUCUCUUAAAUAAAAAACGAAAUCGAUCAAUUUCGGAAAGCAAACGCGCAAAGAGACGAACAGAGAGGUAAUCAUCUUCUUGUCCAGAUCUUUCAGAUCGAUCAUCAACAAGCAUAAAAGGUAAUCAUCUUCUUGUCCAGAUCUUUCAGAUCGAUCAUCAACAAGCAUAAAAGGUAAUCAUCUUCUUGUCCAGAUCUUUCAGAUCGAUCAUCGACAAGCAUAAAAGAAGGAUCGAUUUCAGAAAACAAACACGCGAAGAGACGAACGGAGAGGUAAUCUCAGAUCUUUCAGAUCGAUCGCCAAGAAGAAAGCAAACACCGAAAGAAACGGAUGGAGAGGUAAGACAGGAAUGCGAGAGGAUCGAAUCGAGGUAC
rnacentral:lncRNA from 1 species